rnacentral:rRNA from 1 species
GUAGUCUGCAACUCGACUACAUGAAGCUGGAAUCGCUAGUAAUCGCGGAUCAGAAUGCCGCGGUGAAUACGUUCCCGGGUCUUGUACACACCGCCCGUCACACCAUGGGAGUCAGUAACGCCCGAAGCCGGUGACCCAACCUAUUCUGGAGGGAGCCGUCGAAGGCGGGACGGAUGACUGGGGUGAAGUCGUAACAAGGUACC